AGAGUUUGAUCAUGGCUCAGAACGAACGCUGGCGGCAUGCCUAACACAUGCAAGUCGAACGAACCCUUCGGGUUAGUGGCGCACGGGUGCGUAACGCGUGGGAAUCUGCCCUUUGCUUCGGAAUAACAGUUAGAAAUGACUGCUAAUACCGGAUAAUGUCUUCGGACCAAAGAUUUAUCGGCAAAGGAUGAGCCCGCGUAGGAUUAGCUAGUUGGUGGGGUAAAAGCUCACCAAGGCGACGAUCCUUAGCUGGUCUGAGAGGAUGAUCAGCCACACUGGGACUGAGACACGGCCCAGACUCCUACGGGAGGCAGCAGUGGGGAAUAUUGGACAAUGGGCGAAAGCCUGAUCCAGCAAUGCCGCGUGAGUGAUGAAGGCCUUAGGGUUGUAAAGCUCUUUUACCAGGGAUGAUAAUGACAGUACCUGGAGAAUAAGCUCCGGCUAACUCCGUG
rnacentral:rRNA from 1 species